CGGCAUAGAAUAAUAUCCUACAUUUUGCAUUUGUGUUAUACCGGAAUUCCAAAAAUAUUGCUGUCCAGUGUUUGAAGAAAGGUUUGCCAUUUCUUACAAUGAAAUUUAUCUAGAAGAUUACAAAGUAUCUAUUACAAAAGUCAAUGACAAAAAUAUGUUUAUUAUUUUUUUAUUAAAACGAUUAAAAUUUUGAAUUGGCGGUCAUUGACUACGUACAACGUGAACAAAAACAAUAUUGGUUGACUUUGACCGUAAUCCAAUCAGUCUUCCUUUAUACUCCGACGAGUAAGUAUCGUAGCUCUCUUUCUCGAGACAUUUAAAUUUUGAAUUGGCGGUCAUUGAUUACGUACAACGUGAACAAAAACAAUAUUGGUUGACUUUGACCGUAAUCCAAUCAGUCUUCCUUUAUACUCCGACGAGUAAGUAUCGUAGCUCUCUUUCUCGAAAC